UAGGGAAUUUUGCACAAUGGGCGCAAGCCUGAUGCAGCGACGCCGCGUGCGGGAUGGAGGCCUUCGGGUUGUAAACCGCUUUUGUUCAAGGGCAAGGCACGGUCUUUGGCCGUGUUGAGUGGAUUGUUCGAAUAAGCACCGGCUAACUACGUGCC
rnacentral:rRNA from 1 species